CAUUACCUUCGGGUGAGUUUCAGUGUGUGGGAUUGAAGUUUGUUCCUAGGAUGUAAGUACAGCAACGUCCGAUGUGAUCUGAUCACAGUACAAGAACCUCGUACAAACAGAUAUAGUCCACAGUGUUUGGGUUUUAUGUGCAUACAGGAUUUUCCAGUUUCAUCUCAACAUACUAAAGCGGGUAACUAGAUGUGUAGAGGAUGCGAUCUAGCAGACGUUACUGGACUAGUUGCAACAUUUCUCUCUUCAAACAAACUGGCGACAGGUCUCUCUUACUUUCAAAUUCCAGUUAGAAAUUGUCUGCUUCAAACCUGUUACCAAUACUCUCAUCUUUCCAAGAAAAACUGAAAGACAUUUGAUUACAAGGAAAAACAAACGUGCGAAGCUUCGAUGUCAAUCGUUACAACACAUUGAGCCCAACGCUGGCGGGUUUGAAAUCUGGCCACGAGGCAGAUGUAAAGCACACUUAACUGUUUUAGUGUUUUGUUCCGGUUUAUUUGGUCUCACUUCUUGUGUUACUCCUUCUUGUGGAUACUAGAGCAUGUGUACCCUAGAGUCAUUCUAUUGGGAUUCUGUGCGUCUGGACAAUUACAGUGAUAAAAAAACAGAAGAUAGUGAUUGAUAAGAAAGAUCUCUUUGAGUUCAGGUACUCACUUCACACAGUACAGAUCCUAGAUUUGAAGGGGCAGUAACUCCACUAUGACCGUGACAAGCCGGUGAUGCUGGAACUUGAAGCCUUGCCCCAGACCAUAGUAUACACCAUUAUAGUCGUUACUAUGGCAACGUUGUUUCUGUGCUGCUGGCGCAAGAAGUCCCGAAGCGGCGGCGUGACCGACGGCAAGACCUCUAAAGUCAAACCGGACUCCGUCAAGGGCCCUGAUAAAUCCAAGGAAAGUUCCCCAAGUCCCGUUGUUGAGAAAUCCGGAAACGGGUCGGCGAUUCCAAGUCCAAGGUAACGUAUGACAAAAGGACGAGAACAGAUUGCAAAUGUCUAGUUUUACAUUAAGAAAGAUUAUGUCUUUAGGUGUAGGCAAUGAAAGACUGUAAAUCAUUAAAUGUCUAGUUAUACAUUAAGAUAAAUUGUAAAUGUCUAGGGUGUAGGCGAUGAUGCACUGUAAAUGUCUAGUUGUGGGUUAUGAUACAGUCAGAAAGCAACAAGUUAAACAUUUAGAGUUUCUCAUAUACCACCACAAGUGUCUUCCCUUCAGCCCACCAAGUGAUUUCUUUCAUUGGCACCUAGCAUAACGUCCUGCAAUGCCAGUGUUGUUUAUUUUCUAGACAUAUUACCCCUCUCUCUGAGUCACUCUUUAACCACAAUGAGACCCACUAGCUCUCCGAUCCUGCGUAACUAGAUUUUACCUACGUUCCAAAAAAACUUGUCACUCAACAGUAUUAAACUGUAUAGAUUUUGGGAUUUCCACAAACAGGGCAAGAAAAGAAGAAAAAAAAAAAGAUCUGUUCAACAGUUUUAGAGUGUUACAAAAUAGACCAAUAAACAAGUCGAUGCAUUUAAGAUGGAGGAAUGAAAGAGGAGGAGGGUAGUGGGAGGGUAAGAGAGAGAGAGGUAUUAGCACAGAUGUCUAGUGGCUAUGUCCACAGUGACAUUGCCUAUAGACUAAAGCUGCUGAGUACUUCAGUUCAAGGGGCUCGAUACAUCGGAUCAAAUGGAAAGUGAAGGAAAAGAUUAUGUACUAAAAAAAAUGUGCAUUGAGCAGUACAAUGUGUCUCACUGUGGGUGAUACUUUCUAGACACGUAUGGAGUCAACACUCAACUGCAUACUAAAAAAAACAAUUCUCAUCUACCAGUUUUAUUUGGUUGUUGUUUUUUAAAUUCCUAUGUUGGUACAAGGCAGUGAAAUAACAAUGUUUAAAGUUAGAAGAAAUGGGAUUGUGUCUUGGGCUAAGUUCGAAGAAAUGGAAUUGUGUCUUGGGCUCAGUUUUGAUAGUGACAUAUGAAAAAUGUAUGAAAGCAUUAUGCUGAACAUAAAACUA
rnacentral:sRNA from 1 species